rnacentral:snRNA from 1 species
UUAGCCUUUGGUUAAAAUCAGCUGUUGUAUCUGUUCUGAUCAGUUGAAUGUCUUGAUAUGUACUGUGUCUGAAAGCAGUAUGUUAGGGGCUGGAGAUUUAGCUCAGCGGCAUAAGUGCCUGCCUUGCAAGCAGGCAGUCGUGAGUUCGAUCCCUGGUACCGAUAAAAACGAAAAAGACAAAAAAAAAAAAAAAAAAGAAAAGAAAGAAAGAAAGCAGUAUGUUAAAUGGAAUUUUGAAGCAGAAAGGUGGAAUAAGAGCUUGCUCUGUCCACUCCAUGUGUUCACUUGGUAUUACAAUACCUUCAAGAAUAAUGCACCCCAU